CUUCCCUUCCCCCUCAUACUCUUCUCCACUGCUCUCAUUCUCAUCAUAACCCCCAUUUCUAUCCUCAUCCUCCCAAUUCUGCACAUCUUGUCCAUCUUUUUCUUUAUUUUGGUUCUCGUUUACCUCAUAUUCUACACCUUUUGCUCCAUCAACAUUCUCAUUUUCAGCGGUUCUUACCUCAUUCCCUUCCUUAUAAUCAUCAUUAAGCCCAGGACCCUCCUCCCAGGCCGCCUCAAUCUCUGCCUGCUCCAAGGUCAGCAACUUAAGAGUGAUUUUGCUCAACCCUUAUAUGGGUGAUCCCUUCUCACUUCUCCCACUUCGUCUUUACUACUACUCUUCUUAUUUGUUUCUAUAUAAGAUGUUCUUCUACUACAUUUAGACAUAAUCUAACUCAAUUUUCAUCGCUAAUAAACAGACUUAUUAGUUAUCCUGGAUAAAGCAUUCUUAUUUCCAUAAUAUCGAAUAGAGCAAUGCUAUUCAUCAUUAGUAGAGAUAAUUAUGUUUUGGCCUCCUAAUUCAUUGUCCAAUGGAAUUGUAAUGCAUUUUAAUGCAAUGGAAAUGAAUUAAAAGGGCCGACUAUCACCUAUAGUGGCGAUCAUUUCUACUAAUGAUGAAUAGCAAUUACUCUAUCGAAUAGCACUAUUGGUCCUUUUAUUUGUUCUUUUUUGUUUGAAUAGAUAUUCAAAUCUCGAGACCUACUCUAAUUUGCAGGGUUAGAUUCCUGUAUAAAUGCGAAUCAUUCCUCAAUUACAUAUUAUUAUUAUGUCAAGAUGAUUCUGAGAAGCAACCACAGCAAGCAAAUCUAUGUUACAGUUCGUAUCGACAAAAUUACCCGAAGGAAAUAAGAUCACAAAAAUUCAUAGAUAAAUAUAUUUGAUGAUUAAAGUCCCCCCACGCCCUGCAAAAUAAAAUAAAAUAAAAAAAACAGCGGAUUCGAUAAUGACCUUGCAUUCAAUCUGUCCAGCCCUUUCUGGGUUCCCUUCCCUUUGAUUUUCUCUCUCCUUAACAUCCUUCAAAAGAAAAUUCAUUCAUGGGUAAAAUAAAAUAUUAGGAAAAUUAACCAAUCAUCAAUAUUUCCAAGAUUUCAAACUGAGUAACAAUACUAUGCUAAACUCCACGACAGGCGAGAAGAUUUACAUAAGCAAUGAAUGUUAACAACUUCAUUAUCUUUAGUAAUGAAAACACGAAUGUUAAUGAAACAAAUUUAUUUCUGUUCAUAUAUUGCAACAUGUGGAAGAAAUUAAUAUGCAAAAAUUUAGAACUAAUGUAGAAUGUGCGCAUCAAAGACCAUAUUUAGGGAAUAUAAAAAUGAGUUACUGCAAUAUAAGAAGGAUCUACCACAGCCUUUGAUCGGUCAAACAAGACAUGAAUUCAUGCACAAGAAACAUGCAGAUGUCUACAGAUGCACACACAAUUCUUCAAAAUAUUACAUAUACUUGUAUAAACAUCUCUUACUUCUGGAACAGUCAACAAUACACACAAUCCAAUUAUAAAUACUUAUACUAACUCGAUCUCAAAAACACUCCUUUAGUAAAAACUGAUUGAAAUCGCUCCUUUAGUAUUAUUAUUUAAAGCAGCAAAGGACCCUUUUUUUACCAACCUAGCCCUUGAAUCUACAUAAUAACAUGGAAAUCUAGGAGAAGAAGAAGAUGAAGAUGAUACAAUCUAUGUACAGACGACUUACGGCAUUCUAAGAGAUUCGACAACUUCUGAUCAAUCAAAUGACUCCCAUGCAUCACUCAAGGAGACUUGUGUGAACUAUUUUCCAAUUAAUCAAAUCAACUCAGGUUAUAAAUAAUUAGUACGAGAUUAAAGAUUUACCAAUGAUUAACUCAUCUAAGUCGCUCAUUAUUUUUGUCAAUUUCAAUGAGUAAACAAUUACGCCGCCGAAACCAUUAUGUCCAACUAAUAUAUCAAGAAAACAAGACAUCAACAACGAAAUAUCAAGACAGACCUUUAAAUCUUAUUCUGUUAACCAAUCUCUUCACAGAAAAAUUAUAGCAGUUUCAUUCAAUCAAAGCCAAGUGAUGGAAAAAAAAACACAUAAAAUCAAAUCCAUAAACUGAUGCACAACCAAAUGCAUUCAUCAAGAUGUAUGUAUAGACCUGAUGCUUUCUUCUGGAAGGGUGAUUAAACUUGCAACCCGAUCCGAAUUUACAAGACCCCGUUUUCAUAUAGAACGAACAAUCCUCAGCAUCCGGUCUCAGCGGAUACUGAGGCUUCCUACUAUUAUAAUCAAUAUUCAUCCCUCCCUUCACCGAUUCCUCCAUCGACUUCCCUUCCCCCUCAUACUCUUCUCCACUGCUCUCAUUCUCAUCAUAACCCCCAUUUCUAUCCUCAUCCUCCCAAUUCUGCACAUCUUGUCCAUCUUUUUCUUUAUUUUGGUUCUCGUUUACCUCAUAUUCUACACCUUUUGCUCCAUCAACAUUCUCAUUUUCAGCGGUUCUUACCUCAUUCCCUUCCUUAUAAUCAUCAUUAAGCCCAGGACCCUCCUCCCAGGCCGCCUCAAUCUCUGCCUGCUCCAAGGUCAGCUGAUGAAUCUCUCUCUCAAUGGCAUCCCUCAAUUUCACCUCUUCCUCUUCAACAGCCUUCUCCUUCACCUCUUCAUCAAUACCCUUUGGAAGAUCAUUCUUCCCCUCAGGGGCAUUUUGGGGAUCAAAAACCUCCUUUUCACCACCCUGAUCACUGAUCGGAUCAAUCGGAGUUGAUUCUGGGUUAAUAAGCCCUAACCCUAGAUUUCCAUUUUGGGGCUUUUCAAAUAUUGAUGAUUCUGAUGAAUCCAUGGUGGUUCCUCCACAUUUCAAUCUAGGAUUAAACCGAGAUAAAUGCUCCUUUCUUCUCAAAAAGAAACUUUACAACUCUGUAAAGCUUAAAAAUGAAUUUUCCUUUUUCUUAUUUUUCCCCCUUUUCGGGCGGUGGUGGUUUAGUGGCGGAGCUGGGUGAAUGGAGGAACUAUUGGUUAUCUGAAUGUACUGCCUGUGGAUGUCUGAAUGAAUUUAUACAUGUAAUUUUGUCUAAUGUCAAAAAAUCAUAUUGAGAAAAGAAAAUUUGCCUAAUAAAGAAAAUAAAAUGGUAUGUGACUCAAACUUUUGAAAUGUUGUGAUUUGAAUAGAUUAAUGCCUGUUCGGUAGCGAUUAUGAGAAUUGAUUUUUUGAUUGUUAAAGGGAAAAAGUGGGUCCCACUUAUGAGUGAAAAAGUGAAAAAUGAUGAUUGAAAUAGUAAAAUAACGAUCCAAAAUUGAUUUUAUUGUUUGAAAAAUUGCUACCAAACAGGAACUAAGAGUCAAAAUAUCGUGAUUUAAGUAGACGGUGAUAUCAUGUAUGAACCUGUAGAUUGACAAAAGGAAAAAAUUAUUGUUUUCGAAUUUUUACAAAUAGAGUAAUUGGGUUCUCAAUUAAUUUUAUUUAUUUUUUAAUUUCGAAAAAGUACUUAUUAACCGAAACUAGUUUUAACUAUUUUAAAACUAUUUUUGAGAAGAUUAAUAUUUUUAAACUUCCCUAAAACAUUCUAUUCCAUUACGAUUUUAAAAUAUCAUCCUUAUUUAUUAAUUAAAAGAAAAAUUUACAAAAUACACCAUAUAUAGAAGGUGUAAUUACAAUUUGCAUACCUUUCUUUAUAGAUUUACAUUUCGUCCCUAAAAUUUUAUAAAUAUGUCAUCUUUGAUCGGUCAAACAAGACAUGAAUUCAUGCACAAGAAACAUGCAGAUGUCUACAGAUGCACACACAAUUCUUCAAAAUAUUACAUAUACUUGUAUAAACAUCUCUUACUUCUGGAACAGUCAACAAUACACACAAUCCAAUUAUAAAUACUUAUACUAACUCGAUCUCAAAAACACUCCUUUAGUAAAAACUGAUUGAAAUCGCUCCUUUAGUAUUAUUAUUUAAAGCAGCAAAGGACCCUUUUUUUACCAACCUAGCCCUUGAAUCUACAUAAUAACAUGGAAAUCUAGGAGAAGAAGAAGAUGAAGAUGAUACAAUCUAUGUACAGACGACUUACGGCAUUCUAAGAGAUUCGACAACUUCUGAUCAAUCAAAUGACUCCCAUGCAUCACUCAAGGAGACUUGUGUGAACUAUUUUCCAAUUAAUCAAAUCAACUCAGGUUAUAAAUAAUUAGUACGAGAUUAAAGAUUUACCAAUGAUUAACUCAUCUAAGUCGCUCAUUUUUUGCUAGUUUCGAACAAAAUUAUCUAUUCAAUUACUUGAACAUAGAAGUAAAAUAAAAUAUGAUUCAAGAUUCAAGAAAGAUAUUGAAAUGUUGCCGUCAGUAUAAACUUUUGAUGAGUACAACUUGUACGCAGUUCUUUUCGUUUUAUAUCAUUUAUAUUGAACCAACUCAUCUAAAAGUUUAAAACUUUUUAACGGGGGUAGAUUAAUCCAUUUAUAAACACAUAAAAUCAAAUCCAUAAACUGAUGCACAACCAAAUGCAUUCAUCAAGAUGUAUGUAGACCUGAUGCUUUCUUCUGGAAGGGUGAUUAAACUUGCAACCCGAUCCGAAUUUACAAGACCCCGUUUUCAUAUAGAACGAACAAUCCUCAGCAUCCGGUCUCAGCGGAUACUGAGGCUUCCUACCAUUAUAAUCAAUAUUCAUCCCUCCCUUCACCGAUUCCUCCAUCGACUUCCCUUCCCCCUCAUACUCUUCGCCACUGCUCUCAUUCUCAUCAUAACCCCCAUUUCUAUCCUCAUCCUCCCAAUUCUGCACAUCUUGUCCAUCUUUUUCUUUAUUUUGGUUCUCGUUUACCUCAUAUUCUACACCUUUUGUUCCAUCAACAUUCUCAUUUUCAGCGGUUCUUACCUCAUUCCCUUCCUUAUAAUCAUCAUUAAGCCCAGGACCCUCCUCCCAGGCCGCCUCAAUCUCUGCCUGCUCAUGCGUAUGUAGUUUUUGAUUGCAUAGGAGUCCUCUAGAGGAGCAGUUCAACUUUUAACAUUCUGUGGAAGCUUUCUAGAGAAACAAUAUGUUAGUUAGCUUAUUUUUCUUCUUUGAGUUGUAUGAAAUUAUGAAUUAUUUGCCCCUUCCUUAAAAAAAAAAGGUUGAACCCCAAUCUUGAGAGUUCUCACCGUCCCGCCCCUAGAGCUUUGUGAGGGAGGUAAAUCGCGGGAUGUGCCCCAACAGGCCAGGGAACAAGAGCUGCCUAUAUACUGCGCCUACAAGGAGUCCAAUUCCAUGUCUCAAGAAUCGAACCAUCACACUGCGACUGCCAACAAAGCGUGAGAUAACUUCACUCCUACCCUUUGUAACACUGAGCUAUGUCCCGGGGGCAUAUUCGCCCCCUUCCUUUAUUACCCUACUGGGGAAUAAAGCAAAGGCCGUGAUUGAAUGGGCCACCUUAUUACCCUUUUGGGAAUAAAGUGAUGACAAGAACCACUACUCACUGGUGAAAUUGUUAUAAAUAUAAAUCAUGAGGUGUGAAAAAAUUUGAGAUGGGCUCUGCUGCGGGCCGGUCCAAGAAUACUCCUUGACUGUGUUGGGCCCCCAAGUGGGCUUGUCCAAUGCUGAUCGUGGAGGACCUUGGGCAGGCCCAAUACUCAGGCCCCGUUGUAUCAGCAAGCACGAAACAACAUGUAAUGUCAUGCUCACAAUAGAAACACGAUGGUAAAUUUCAUUUUUGCACCCCUAAUAGAAGGCCAUAUAAUCGAGACUUUAGGCCUUGAACCUGCUUCAGGAAACUUUGCACGUCUUUGCUAUCCUUUGAGAGGCCUAAACUCUAGAGAAACUUUCUAUUCGAGAAUAUUUCUUGACUUGUAACUCAUGGUGAGAAUUUUACGAUAUGAAAAUGUGUCUUGUAUUUUCCGUCUAGCUCGAUUUUAAUGAAAAUACGAUUGGACCAUUUCUGGCAGGAAUUUUGAAUGAUGAGUUACUAAAAUUGCUCUGACUUUACAAGGCUAAAUUUGAUUGUUCCUAAUCAACUACCUCACAAGAAAAUGGGACAAAAUCAUUUUCAGUUUAAUUUUUUUCCUCUUAAAUAUUAUAUUUUCAAACGAAAAUAAGGACAAAACUGGAAAGUCCAGACAAAGGAAAUCAAUUUAAACAAGCCAAAACUGCUAUAUAAUGACAAGUAUGGGCAGCUAUCAUAUGUGGUCCCUGCAACAAUUUACAAAAUCCCUAUUAGGUAGUGUAUUAAAAAAUAUAACACAUAUUUUCUUAAUUUAAGGUUCAAAAAUAGGUGAUGUUGAGAGGUACCUUCUUUUCUCCUCUCUUGAAAAUUCUUAUAUUCACCUGUAUCACGUUUAUUACGUAAUAUUGAAUAUAAUGAAAAAGAUACUGAGGCUUCCUACCAUUAUAAUCAAUAUUCAUCCCUCCCUUCACCGAUUCCUCCAUCGACUUCCCUUCCCCCUCAUACUCUUCGCCACUGCUCUCAUUCUCAUCAUAACCCCCAUUUCUAUCCUCAUCCUCCCAAUUCUGCACAUCUUGUCCAUCUUUUUCUUUAUUUUGGUUCUCGUUUACCUCAUAUUCUACACCUUUUGUUCCAUCAACAUUCUCAUUUUCAGCGGUUCUUACCUCAUUCCCUUCCUUAUAAUCAUCAUUAAGCCCAGGACCCUCCUCCCAGGCCGCCUCAAUCUCUGCCUGCUCCAAGGUCAGCUGAUGAAUCUCUCUCUCAAUGGCAUCCCUCAAUUUCACCUCUUCCUCUUCAACAGCCUUCUCCUUCACCUCUUCAUCAAUACCCUUUGGAAGAUCAUUCUUCCCCUCAGGGGCAUUUUGGGGAUCAAAAACCUCCUUUUCAC
rnacentral:lncRNA from 1 species